UCAUCUCAAGGUAGUUUAUAACUACCCUGAGCCUUUAUUCUUCCAUAAAUCAAGACAUUCCAAAAUGCAGAAGAAAGAGCAACUAGGAAAGUGAAAGUAUUAAAACACAGAAUGAUUUUGACAUUAAUUGUGAAAGGCAAGAAGUCAAUUCCAGGCCUGUCAAAAAAUGACACCAGCACUGGCCUUCUACUGCAGGAAAAUUGUGGAAACCACUGCACAGAGUAACAUUACACACAUUUUGCUGAUUCCCCUUUUGUCUGUUCUUCACCUUGGUCAGACCAGAAAGAACAUAUUUCAAAGUAAAGAUGGCACACAACAUGUAAUUGGGAUACUCCUAUAUCGCAUAGAUUUCAUUAAAACAUAUUCAGCAAAGAUUUCCUGCAAGGAUUGUGCAGGUGAAGGCUGAGAUAUCUCAUCUGUAUUGAGCAAAGAGACAUUUGUGAGCAGUUUCUUAAAGCUGGAUACAAACAGGAGUACAGUAGAACCCAAACCUUUACAACAAUCUGUCAAAUUUAAUUUCAAAAUACAAGGAAAUCUCAAGUGUUGAACCCAAUCAUCUUGCCCACAUUUAGAUUUAGGAAGCACAAAGGGCAAAUGCAGAUCUCAUCUCACCGUCUUUCUGCAAGUCUCUGGAUCAUAAUCUCCGGCCAAUGCUGUCAUAAAAUAGAAUGGUGAUGACUUGUCCAGAAAUUAUAUAGACAGCAAUGCAAUUAAUUUGGUGUUAUAUGUGUCUAGAGUAUUUAGCCACUACUUCUCUGGGCCAGGAAGAUGUUGUUAAGUGUAAAAAGCAGUGUAGAACACAGUGGGCAAUACACCUUUCAAAGAAAGAGCACUACCCCUUCCAUUACCUCUUCAGUAGCUGCUUCUCCUGAUAAAUGUUUUCUUUUCCCUUGGUAAAGAACUUUCCCUUAAAUAAUUCUGUUUGAAUGGUAAAUGCACAUCAAGUUACAGUUAUGGUAAUGACUUACUCCAUUCUCAAUUUCUUUACUUCCCUCUGAUCACAUUCUGUUUAUUACGGUGUUAAUCCCAUUGCUAGAGAAUCUUCUACAACAAGAAGUAGUUUUUGAAAAGAAGGUUGGGGGAAUAUCCCAAACAAACUUUGUGAACCAAAUGCAGCUAUUCAGGACUUCAUCUCAAAACCAGAACUACUGCAUACAGUCACUUUUUGUGGGUUUUAUUUCUCAAACUGAAAAUAUUUUCAAAGUUUAGUUAACACAGUUGUAUUUAUAAAAAGUGCAAGUAAGCCAAAGCCCUCGCAGUACGCCACUUUUGUUACACUACUUGAUCAUUAUUUUUCUUCUCUCACAUAACAGACACUUCAGUUGAAGUAUCAUAUUCAGUUUAAUAUUAUCAUAUUUUAUUGUAUCAUAAAAUGGCAGUCAGGGAUUGCUUCAAAUAUCUUAAUGACUCCUUGCUGUGGGUAUGUAGUAGAAAUAAUGGGGCUUAGAGUGUAUCCCAAGAAUUAUCUCAGUACUCUUCGCAAAUUCAUUGUGUCAAUCCUAAAACAAAAUGAUGUGAUCAUAGUAGGCAAGAGCUAAAGGCUUUGACAUGGGGAAUGGUAACUUCAUUUUAACAUCACGACUGUCCGUGUAAAACUGUAAAUAAGGUAACUUUUGCCUAACAGCUGUUUUUAUUGAUAUCUCUGUUGCCAUGCUGUAUCCCUUAGUACCAUUAGAGAGGGUCCAUUCAAGAAGGUUCCUCACUAUUCCAGCAGCUCAUAGCUCUAGGAGACAAUGAACACUGCACAGGGAAGAUAGGGCCAAGCUAAAAGUUCUCCAAAGAGAGACAUAUUCCACUUCUGCAGCCAUCAGUUUUCCUUGCCCGAACUCUCAUUAGCAUGUUGCUCAUAUAUUCAGUACUGUACUGGAUAUAUAUUGUACACAAUAUAUAAAUUGUCAGGAACUCACAAUUUUUAUACCCACAUGUCUAUAUAGCAGUUGUGAAAUAAUGAUAUUCACCAGCAGUUUCAAGAAAAUGGGUCACAGACACCAAAAUGAGCCUAUUACCAUCUAACCUGCCAGGCAUGAAUGCCUCACAUGCAGAAAUCUGAGCACUGGUCAUGGCCAGUGUAGUGGUUUGCCACCCCAACACUUGCCAUUGCCAUGACUGUUAUGCCAAAAAUAGAAGCUUUCCUGAAAUUAGCAGAAGGGGAAAGAGGCCAUGUAGUGGGAACUGAGUACCAGAUUUGGAACUGGAAAGAAGUGUGGCAUGAAGGCAUGUAAAAGUAUGAAUGUUACAGACAAAAGGAAGGAGUCCAUGUAUCUCUAAUUGAGGAAUGUCAUAUAUAUUGCCAAUUAAAAGAGCAUAAAUUUCUGAUAACCCCUUUUUAAACGUUUGGCAUCAUGCUGCCCUAAGUAUGUGCACAUUAUUACUUUUCUGCUGUCUGACACUGAAAUAGAUCUCAGGAUACCAUCACAAAAUGCCACAACUUAUGCACAUGCUUUUUUAUUCAAACAAGAAACACUGAAUGUGAACAUACACAGUUGGUUAGGACAGUUAGAGAUUCUCUUAUUCUAUAUUGUAAAUUCUGCCAGCAAAGUGAUUUCAUUUGCAAUUACAGAAAAAGAUGCAGACAAGCUGCACAACAUUUCUGGAAUUUUUAAAUUAAAAGCAAGAAUUCCAGGAAUGGUCCAAAUAAUCAGAGAACUGGAACAACAGGGUUCCAACAGGAGGAGUGGAAAAAAAGAGAGAGGAAAUUCUGAGUGAUCAAUCUCUUAUUUGCAUUACGUGUUUUAAUGUUUGUAGAAAGAUUGUUGCCUCAAAACCAAAAGAGAAAUUAUUAGAGGUCAAAUGUUCCAAC
rnacentral:lncRNA from 1 species